rnacentral:tRNA from 1 species
GGAGCCAUAGCUCAAUUAUUGGUUAGAGCACUGCCCUGUCACGGCAGGGGUUGCGGGUUCGAGCCCCGUUGGCUCCG